CGAGUUGCUUAAGAUAUGGUCGGGCCCCUUCAGAAAUGUGGGGG
rnacentral:rRNA from 1 species